rnacentral:rRNA from 1 species
CCGUACCUUGACUGGUNUGGNGAGCNNCCGACNAAGGCCAUAACCAAAACUCUUGACCUAAACCUGUUGUNUGAAAUAAAUUGUUAAAUAAAUUGAAANUUUCAACAACGGAUCUCUUGGUUCGGGCAUCGAUGAAGAACGCAGCGAAAUGCGAUAAGUAAUGCGAAUUGCAGAAUUUCCGUGAGUCAUCGAAUCUUUGAACGCACAUUGCGCCCAUUGGUAUUCCGAUGGGCAUGCCUGUUCGAGCGUCAUUAUCCUCCCUCAAACCCCGGGUUUGGUGUUGGACCGCUGUGAGGUUCCGGCCUCACUGGUCCCAAAGACAAUGACGGCGUCCGUGGGACCCCUCUGCGCAACGAGCUUUCACGAGCACGCGCAAAAAGGACCCCGCGGGCCGGUCUCUCCUUUUUUACUUCUAAGGUUGACCUCGGAUCAGGUAGGAAUACCCGCUGAACUUAAGCAUAUCAAUAAGCGGAGGA